GUUAGGUCAGUUUCUCAUCUGUUCUGGAGAGGAAAAGUGAAAAAUAGGAAAGGAGUAAGAUGAUCGGAGCUUAGAGAGCGAGAGGUUCCAGUUCUUCCGCCGCACUUUUCGUUUUUUUGACGAUUUGGAAGCUGACAGGCUUGACUUGGUAAAUGGUAUAGUCAAAUACCUACCCACAAGCACCAGGAGCAAUACUUGCAGUUCAGUUAUUUCCACCACAAGAACCGUAGAAGAUGUGAACUAGUCUUAUCAAUCUGGCAGAAUUAGCCUUUACAGUUGAACACCUAGGCAGAUCCCCAAGAGGCACGCAGAUGUUACUUUGAUUUCUGUAUCUGUCACAUCACAUUGUUUGCGAGCAUCAGUAACAACAGAGAUAGUGAUCACACACACAGCUCUAGGCACCUCUGAUCUUUUUGCUCAGCACAUACAACACACAUAGUUACACAAACUCUCUCCAGAAGUCACUACUGUGGAACUCACACACAUAGGUACUCACAAAUUACUGCAAAUUUGAUAUAUUUUCAUUGCUUCUCUUCAGGUUAUUCUGAAAGUGUUUUUGUACAGAUAUUUCACCCUUUAUUCGAGGGUUACAACAUGUCAGUUUAGUUUUCUGUUAAAAUCCUCACUCUGUAAAAGAAGUUAUCACACUACAAAAUUUGCAUAAGGUUUUGGUCUAAUGGCAUGACUCUCUGAAUGCCUUACAUUUUGAUACUCUGGAAGCUUA